GCAUAUUAAAUAAGAUUAAGAAGAAACCAGUGAUAUAUAGCGUGCCCACUGUCUUCAACAGCAUAAGAAAUGAGAAGAAAAAAAAAGUCAAAGACAAAAGUCAGGAAUUUAUAAGAUCCUGGUUGAGUUCAAAAAAUCAAAACAAAAUUCUUCAUUUAUAGGUGUUAUUACGAGGACUUUACAUCAGAGGAUUACGGAGCACAAAACAGACAUAGCCAUAGGGGCAACGACCACUGCCCUAGCAGAAGCUGGGACAAGACAAAGAUCAUGAAGCGAAUAAUUAAGGAAUCGCAAGCCCUAUUGUUGGAAGGCUUGGAAAUAAUAAGAGCUAAAACCUUAGGUCCAGUGUUAAAUGAAAGGACGGCCUUAGGAAUCCCGGAUGCAUGGAAGUACCUGGUGCAAAGAAAUGCAUGAAAGAGACUCCAUAAUAGCUACACAAUAAACACCCAGUGAGAGCUGUAAAGAAAAGAAAAUAUAAGGAUCAAAUGGAGGACUGUGUAUUUUGUUUACUUUUAGUUUUUUCCUUUCAACAUUUAAACAAAAUACACAGUCCACCAUUUGAUCCUUAUAUUUUCUUUUCUUUACAGCUCUCGCUGGGUGUUUAUUGUGUAGCUAUUAUGGAGUCUCUUUUAUGCAUUUCUUUGCAUCCAGGAUUCCUAAGGCCGUCCUUUCAUUUAACACUGGGCCUAAGGUUUUAGCUCUUAUUAUUUCCAAGCCUUCCAACAAUAGGGCUUGCGAUUCCUUAAUUAUUUGCUUCACGAUCUUUGUCUCGUCUCAUUCUAUUUUCACUUCUGCAUAUACAGCUUUUGCUAGGGCAGUGGUUGUUGCUCCUAUGGCUAUGUCUGUUUUGUGCUCCAUAAUCCUCUGAUGUAAAGUCCUCGUAGUAACACCUAUGUAUGAA
rnacentral:lncRNA from 1 species